rnacentral:rRNA from 1 species
GACGAACGCUGGCGGCGUGCUUAACACAUGCAAGUCGAACGGAAAGGCCCUGCUUUUGUGGGGUGCUCGAGUGGCGAACGGGUGAGUAACACGUGAGUAACCUGCCCUUGACUUUGGGAUAACUUCAGGAAACUGGGGCUAAUACCGGAUAGGAGCUCCUGCUGCAUGGUGGGGGUUGGAACGUUUCGGCGGUUGGGGAUGGACUGGCGGCUAAUCAGCUUGUUGGUGGGGUAGUGGCUUACCAAGGCAUUGACGGGUAGCCGGCCUGAGAGGGUGACCGGGGUCAAGAGGACUGAGAGAGGGCCCAGACGCCUACAGGGGGCAGCGGGGGGGAAUAUGACACAAUGAGCGGGAGCCUGAGGAGGCAACGCCGCGUUCGUAAAGACGUCCUUCUGGGUAUGAACCGCAUUCGGCUAUGACGAAGCGGGAGUGACGGUAAUGAGUAAAGAAGCACCGGCUAACUACGUG